CCACCCACCCCCUGGGACCAAUCCCAGGCCGAGGAAGAUGGACUUGCUAGAGUGGACUUAAAUCAAUCACACUUUCUUCCGUGGGGCCUGAGCCCAUGACCAGCUGGAAGAGGUCAGCACUAGGCAGCUGGCAGGAAGCAAGGGCAGCUGACAGACCGGUCCCCAGUGCCAGACCAGCACUUUCCAAAGUUUAGCAAAGGUGCAGGCUGUCACAGCAAAGGACCAUGAGCAUCUGACACAGCCUGUGGGACUGCACGAUGGCCUUCUGGAGGACAGGGAUUGGAUACUGGCCUUCACCGUGACCCGAGGACGUGGCCUAGGGUUUGGUAGACAAAAAGAACCCAUGAGGACAGUGCGGGGACCGGACUGACGGGUAGAUGACGGGCCACUGAUCUGUCCUUGUGUGUGAAGCAGAGCCAGAGUUGAAUUCUGUCCCCUACGUGACCUGUGCAAAAGAAAUUCUCAUCUGCGGGGUCAUGCGCUGCCCUCCCACGGGGCACAUGGGAAAGUCUAGAGACGGCUUGGACUCUUUCAGUGGGAAGAGCUACCGCUGUUAAACUCCCUGCUGGGUACAGGACAGCCCCGUCCCCAGAGAAAGAUGACGGCCUCAGGAAAGCAUGUCCCCAGCUGAGCUGGGCCACACAGCUCUG
rnacentral:lncRNA from 1 species